GGAGGGAUGGCUGAGCGGUUGAAAGCGGCGGUCUUGAAAACCGUUGUAGGGGUGACUCUACCGUAGGUUCGAAUCCUAUUCCCUCCACCA
rnacentral:tRNA from 1 species